CAGUCGCCGCGGGAAUACGUAGGGUGCAAGCGUUAAUCGGAAUUACUGGGCGUAAAGCGUGCGCAGGCGGUUUGUUAAGACAGAUGUGAAAUCCCCGAGCUCAACCUGGGAACUGCAUUUGUGACUGGCAAGCUAGAGUCUGGCAGAGGGGGGUGGAAUUCCCGGUGUAGCGGUGAAAUGCGUAGAGAUCGGGAGGAACAUCAGUGGCGAAGGCGGCCAUCUGGGACAACACUGACGCUGAGGCACGAAAGCGUGGGGAGCAAACAGGAUUAGAUACCCGCGUAGUCCCUGUCUCUUAUAC
rnacentral:rRNA from 1 species